rnacentral:lncRNA from 1 species
UAACAAAGACAAGAAACGGCACAUGUAAUCAUUGGAAAACGAAACAAAACGUCUGAAAACUAUAGGUACAUACAGUGUAAAUAUCGGUAAAGCUAAUUUUGAACAAUGGAAUGAGUAUAAAGAAAAACUGAAUGUGGAUACGGACGAAGAACUGGUUGAAAAAAUAUUGACUGACAGGUUAAUUAAAGUAACUACAUCUUCAACUCUUGGAAGUGCACAUGUGGGGACAACUUCAUCAGAUGGUAUUGUGUUCGAAAACAGUGGAUCAAAUCCGACGUUUGAUAGUCAAUAUGAUCUUCUUUACAAGUUUGGAAGGUAUGGUAAGGAAUUUGAAGAGAUCGAAAAACUUGGAAAGGGCGGAUAUGGAUCUGUUUACAAGA